rnacentral:lncRNA from 1 species
UCUAUUGCAUGAGCAUUAGAUUAGCUACAAAUAACAAACUUUUGAACAACAGUCUGCCCAAGUUGUGGGUAGACACUGUAACAGACUCUAAAGGGAAACGGCAGAGAGCUGGCGGCACAAUUGUUCCCGGAGGACUUCCCUUCCUGUGGGGGUGUCACACAGGAUGGCUUGAAACCUGCUGACACUUGAGACUGAAUGGACAUGCAGGUGCUAGGCCAUAUGUCAGAUAUUAAUAUAUCUCUUACCUAAUGAUGCAAAUCAAAUUUCAUUGCACCCAAGUGACCCCCCCCCUUUUUUUUCUUCGAGACAGGGUUUCUCUGUGUAGCCCUGGUUUCCUGGAACUUACUCUGUAGAUCAGGCUGGCUUUGAACUCAGAAAUCCACCUGUCUCUGCUUCCCAGGUGCUGGGAUUAAAGGUGUGCACCACUGCUGUCCGGCUCAAGUGAACCCCUUAUUUCAACAGGAAUUAUAGCCUGUGUGCAUCCUGGCUGGAAGCAAGAUGAGAGUCACCUGAGCAGAUGGAUCUAUGUGAAACUUUGAGUUCAUUUUCCCAUGGUGCUCUUCCCUCAUCCCAGCAGGCAGUCCAUGUGAGUGACAGCCAAGGGUAGUAGUGGGGAAGCAGAAAUAUUCAGUUACUUUGACAAAAAGGGAUAUGUGCAGUGACAAUUUUGGAAUUUUGGCUUCUUUGAAAAACACAGGAAAAUUAUAAGAAUGUUUUCUUCUUAAUCCUGGGUACAGGAUAUGGGGCUGCUUCAGACUGUCUUCAGCAAGUAACCACAGUUUGUCUCAUGUGCUAGCAGGAGCAUGAUCUUGCCAGCUGCAGAUAGUUUCUGCGAUUGUUUGACCUUUGGCAUUCUGGGGAACUUUUCAGAGGGAAUAUAAAUGCUAGGCCCCCAAGAAGGUCAAUGGGUUGUUGGUUGGUUGCUGUUGGUUGAGGUUUGUUAAGUAGGAAGAGAUCAUUUUUCUGCUUAGAAGGGCCCAGGUGAGAGCUGGUUCUUCUAUACAAAAAAGGAUAUCGAAUGCCUGUGGAAAAAAAAGUCAGUCCACAGCCUCAGGUGGGCUGCAGUUUAGGGCCUGCGCUCACACCUAACCUCUCCCCAGCACGUCUCUCAUCUUCUGUUCAUUUUAAAGGUUUUCUUAUUUAUUUAUGUAUAUGAGUAUGUUGUCGCUGUCGUCAGACACCAGCAGAGGGCGUCAGACCCCAUUGCAGAUGACUGAACUACCAUGUGGUGGCGGGGACUUGAACUCAGGACCUCUGGAAGAGCAGUCGGUGCUCUUAAUCCCUGAGCCAUCUCUCCAGCCUCACUUUUCUCAUUUUCAACAGGUGCUUCCCUACCCGGCUUCUACUUUCUUGAAAGAUGUAAGCAAUGCACCGAUUAGGUCUCAGUUCCUUAACACCAAACUGCCCAUCCUUCUAUCUUCUAGUGAGCAGACUCCUUCCUCUGCAGGGUGGUUCCCCAGUGCUGAGUGUGCCCCCUCACCCUACUCCCAUCAUGUCCUCUCCAUCUUGUUCCGUCUCACAGACCAGUCAGCCUUCUCCAGCUUCCCAACUAAAAGGGAAACAUCUUCUCCAGUCCUUCCAGAGGCCAUCCUUCCUAUCCGUCAUAAGCAAAUGAGCUACCAUUGUCCAAAACAAAACUUAUUUUUUAAAAAAAAAGAUUUAUCUUAUGCGUAUAAAUGUUUUGUUUGCAUAUAUGUCUGGGCACCACAUAUGCACCUGGUACCCAAGAAGGUCAGAGGAGCGUGUCACAUCCCCUGAAACUGGUGACACAGAUGUUUGUGGCUGCUGUGGGUUUUAGGAGAGCCUCUGCAGGAGUAACCACUGAGCCAUCCCUCCAGACUCACUAUCUUUAUUUUUCAAUGUCCCAUUUAUUCCUUAGCCCCUUAACUCAGCCUUUCUGUUCCCACCAUUUGCUUGCUUUGAUCUGGGCAAGAUUACUAGCCAACUUCUAGUGUUUAAAUCCACUAAAUUCUUUACAAUGUUGUCUCAAAGCUUUAUUUUUAUUUUUAAAUUUACAUUUAGCCCCCCCCCCUCCCAGCAUGUGCUGCCGACAGAGGACAACUCAUGGGAGUCCCUUCCCGUGGUUUUCCCUGCGGCACCCUGACUUCUGCUGAGCUGAUCUGUGGGAGAGAAAGGAACGCCAAGAGGCUGCCUCCCUUUGCCUCCUGCCUGUAUUGUCACAGAAAGUGAAUGGAGGCUUGGCAGCUGCUUCAGUCUGGCUGGCUGCUCUGAUUAUUGCAUGGACACCUCUGGCUGGCACCCAGCAGACCCUUUCUAGUUGAAGUAGUAUAGCAAAUUAUCUUGUAUUAAUUUUGUGCCCAUGGCUCCUUGAGCUUGGAUCUGUGGGUUUACCGUUUCCCAUAGGAAACUAUGGGCCAUUUCUUUUUUCUUUUCUUUUCUUUUCUUUUCUUUUCUUUUCUUUUCUUUUUAACUUUCAAUUCAUUGUAUCUUUAAUAAUCUGGUAUGAAAAGAAAGAAAGAAAGACAGAAAGAAAGAAAGAGAGAGAGAGAGAAAGAAAGAAAGAAAGAAAGAAAGAAAGAGAGAGAGAGAGAGAAAGAAAGAGAGAAAGAAAGAAAGAAAAAUAUUGUUCCUUUUUAUGGGCAAGGCACAUCAUCAGUAUAGACUCAUUCACAUGGUGAGUGAGAUAGGAUUCCAAACAGCAUGGGAAGGCUUCAAGGCUUACAGAUUGACGCGUUUGGUUGCUGAUAUAAUCAGCCGAGGCACGAGCAGCAUAGAAGAUUAAUGAGCCCUCAGAAGACAGGACGCGGUUGCUAGGUCAGGAGCACCUUGAAGCGUUUCUUGAUGGUGAUUCGGUGUCUUGAAUAUUUGUCAUCUGGGGAGAACCGAGCAGGAUGGGCCGAGCAAGUCUGUUGUCCCAUAGGGUCAAAUUUCUGCUUCAGCGUAUAGACGUGAUCACCCUGCUCGCUGAGGUAAUACAUGAGGAAACAUGAAUGCCCUCAGCAGAAAGACGCCGGUACGUUUACCGCCAGCCGCGUUUACCCAGAGUGCACCCAGAGUGCCGGGCCAUUUCUUUUUCUGUGGUUUUGGCAUCCUCUCCUCGUUGGGUUCCAACCCCUCAUGCUCUCCGCUGUCUGGAAGCUUGUGGGUUCUCCUCACUUGUGCCUCAACCUUCCGUCUCUGUUUUCCGUUUUUGGGAGUACUACAUCCUCAAGAUCACUGCAGUUUUCUUCUGCAGAACCUCCUGAGAGAUCCUAACCAGAUCAAUUUCUUCAUCUUAUAUAUUGUAGAUACUGUACUUUCCAGGGCUGGAGGGAUGGCUCAGCGGUUAAGAGUGCUGGCUGAUUUUCCAGAGGUCCUGAGUUCAAUUCUCAGCAACCACAUGGUGGCUUACAUGUUGUAGUUACUGUAAUUUCCAUGUUUAGAAUUUCGAUUUAAUCUUUUUGGUUUCUCUGUCACAUUUUAAUAUAUUUUGUUGUUGUUGUUUAGUUUUCUCUGAGACAUGGUUUCUCUGUGUAACCUUGAACUCUAUCUGUAAGCCAGGCUGACCUCAAAUUCAUAAGAUCCACCUGCCUCUGCCUCCUGAGUGCUGGAGUUAAAGGUGUGCACCACCAUGCCCGGCUUUAACUUUUUGCCCUGUCUUCUUGAGCAUGUGAAAUAUAUUUAAUAACUAUGUUAUUUAUAUUUCGUGUGUGUCAUAUCCGCACAUGUGUGUACACCUGCUUCAGUGUGUGUGCAUAAGUGCAUGUUAUGGCUCUAGUGUAUGUGUGUGUAGACUCAAAGUGGGUGGAUGACAGGUGCCCUCUUCCAUCAGCCUCCAUUCGUUGUGGCAGGGUUUCUUCCUUAACCUGGGGCUGUCCAAUGCUGGCUGGCCUAGCCAGUGAGCUUACGACUUUCUCUCCCAAAUGCCGGGACUCCAGGAGGCCGCGGUACCUGCCCAGUGUGGGAAGCCACCCUCACAUUCGCCGUUGCAAGAUGGCGCUGACAUCCUGUGUUCUAAGUGGUAAACAAAUAAUCUGCACAUGUGCCAAGGGUAGUUCUCCACUCCAUGUGCUCUGCCUUCCCACUCGGCCGAUGGGCUGCAGCCAAUCAGGGAGUGACACGUCCUAGGCGGAGGAUAAUUCUCCUUAAAAAGGGACGGGGUUUCGCCAUUCUCUCUCUUGCUCUCUUGCGCUCUGGCUCCUGAAGAUGUAAGCAAUAAAGCUCUUGCUCUCUUGCUCUCUUGCGCUCUGGCUCCUAAAGAUGUAAGCAAUAGAGCUCUUGCUCUCUUGCUCUCUCUUGCUCUCUUGCUCUCUGGCUCCUGAAGAUGUAAGCAAUAAAGCUCUUGCUCUUGCUCUCUUGCUCCUGAAGAUGUAAGCAAUAAAGCUUUUGCCGCAGAAGAUUCCGGUUUGUUGCGUUCUUCCUGGCCGGUUGCGAGAACGUGUGUAAGAGCCCAGAAUUUAUAUAGGUACUUGGGAUUCGAAUCCUGGCCACCACUUUUGCAUAGCAAGAGGUUUGCCCGCUAAACCGCCUCCCCAGAGUGGUACAAUUAUUUCAGUGUCCCAGGCUGCUGACUUCUCCUUGUCACGUGUUGCAGUUCCCGAUUCUUGGGAUGCCUGCUGAUUACCGACUGAAUCCCAAGCACUGUCAAAUGUGUUGAUACUGGGAUUUCUGUAUCACUAUAAACAGGCUCGGGGGUUGUCUUAGGGUGUCGUGGAGUUACAUGAAAAUGGCU